rnacentral:lncRNA from 1 species
CUUUGACUCAGAGCCAGUAUAUCAAGCUUCCUGCCAGGUCCGUGCUGAAAUCAGAAGAAGGGCGAUGCUGCAAACGGUAGUCAAAGUCUGUAAAUGGCCCAACAAUCCUUCACAACCAAUAUGCACCUUUUUGAAGUGGGUCCAUUCCAGACUCCCAAGCAGAUGGAAUUCCGCAGGCUGAAUCCAGUCAUUACAAAGCAAUAUUUCAACCAUCAAAAAUGGAUGGAAGGAUGUCAUUCUCAGGAGUAAAUGGAUCAAUUCAAGCCCAGCUUUAAAAAACACUCACCCUGCUGCACCUCCUUUCACCCAAUAGGGAGGCAGCCAAGGCAGACAGCAUUUCAAUGAGUUCUGCAAAACACAAUGCAAGCUGUAUGAACAGUCUGUUCAACAUGUUUGUAGAAGGUCAAAUAAAAAACAGA